UCGGAGUCCAAGUGGAAAUCCCGGGUCAGGGUGUGUCACUUAUUAUGUAAUGUUGCCAUUAAUGCAUCCAAUCAUCAUACAAUAAGUUGUUUAGUAAAGAUUAUGUUCUCUAUUUUUAAACACAUAAAAACAAUUUAAGGAAUGCGUAGCACUCAUAAUAAAAAGAAAAAGAAAAAGCCUUUUGCAUGCACAGCAGUGCGUGCAGGAAGGCUAGUACAUAUUAGAAAGCCUGAAGUAAGUUUUUUGGUGUCUCAAAGCUUCACAAAAAAGAAGUAGACAUUAGAGCCCCUAAAACAACAAAAGUUAUAACUAAAGUAAAUUAUGAAUCUAAAUGUUCCAUGGGCAUUUGUGUAAAUAAAAAAACCUUCAAACAUGGGAAAAGGUCCUAGAAAACUGCACCACAUUUCAUACAAAACAGUUUCCCUCAAAUAGUGUAACUUCCGUAAAUCCUAUUUCAGACCUCGCACUUCCUUGGCAAUUAGAACUUAGAACCCUAUAUGUAUAUUUAGCCAAUUGGUAAAAUUUAAUUGGCAAUACAUUGCAGUGGAAGCCUUUUUACUGACGUUUUUCAUGUUAUUUUGGCAUGCUUUUUUAGCAUUGGGAUUUAUCGAGUUUAGAUUGCAGAAAGCGAGGAUAAGAGAAUAAUUAGAGCGUAUGCAAUGGUGUUGGAUACGUAUGAAGAAGAAAUAGUUUAUUGAGUUUAGAUUGCAGAAAGCAAGGAUAAGAGAAUAAUUAAAGAGUUUGCAAUGGUGUUGGAUGCGUAUGAAGAAGAAAGAGGGAAGAAAUCCGUGAUUCCCAUAUCUGAAAGGUUCAUGGCGAUGAAAGCUACUAUUGACAAACAAUUCAGGUUUGAAAUCUUUUGGUACCAAAUUUGGUUUCAACAUGUUCCAAAUUGACAUUUUUCUUAAAAACAGUCCAGCCGGCGUUGAACAGCCAUUUGAUUUCGGGUCAUCUGAGUUUUUUCUUUAUCGUAACUGAAGAAAGAUACAGGUUGUUGUUUUGUUAAUGACGGUGGAUGAUUUAGAUGAAAGUAUGUAUCUUGGGAAUUGUUUUGCUUUCAGUUGUUUAGGCCCAAACUGAAGAAGUUUUGUGGAAUGAGAUUCUUAUACCAAAUUGCUUCUCCGUUCAUUGUGGUUCAACAAGUAGGUGAUUUCUUUUUGCCCAAGCUUGAGUACUCUCAAGAUUAUUGCUCAAGUUACAACCCAGGGCAAUUUGAAGACUAUUUCUGAAGUAUGACAUGAUCUCCUCUUCCAUUCUCUAUUAAUUUUUAUUUUACUAGAUAAAAAUAUCAAUCCUUGCAAGUGCAUUAUUUCACUUGAACAAAUGUUUACCUGUACCAAAGGAUGCAAGGCCAGCAAUACUGGGGAUGUGGAGUGAAGAGCAAGCCUAAAUACUUUCACUACUUUCUUAAAAUUGUCAUUAAAAAUUGCCGUGUGCAAAUGCAUGAAAUCCUCACUAUUUGUAGAGUCUAGCAGUGGUACGGGCAGUAACAGUGACUUCAAACCCUCUGGUAUGGAAACAAUUUAUUAUAUACAAGAAAGAUUUGCUUUCAGAUUCAAUCAGCUAUUAUAAGAAUAUGAAUUGAAUUCCUUGGUGAUUUCACAGUAAUAUGAUAUCAUUUCCAACUUUAUUGUUGUCUUCCAUGGGAACUAAGUCUCUUUCUACAUGGUGUCAUUGUCCCCUAGACCUAAGAACGCCUUAUCCCUUAAGCGCAAGUCCACCCAAGUAAUGCAAUAA